ensembl:snoRNA SNORA71 Small nucleolar RNA SNORA71
CCCUGUAUCCGAAAGUGAUCUUAGCUGCCUGUGCUCUGGUCAUUGGUAGUCCAGGGAAAGGAUGCUGAAAGACUUGUUCCUGGAUUUGGGGUGUCUGUCCUGACCCCUCAAAAGCCUGGAGCCUUCCUACA